AGUGAACGCUGGCGGUAGGCCUAACACAUGCCAGUCGAACGGCAGCACAGUAAGAGCUUGCUCUUACGGGUGGCGAGUGGCGGACGGGUGAGGAAUACAUCGGAAUCUACUUUUUCGUGGGGGAUAACGUAGGGAAACUUACGCUAAUACCGCAUACGACCUACGGGUGAAAGCAGGGGAUCUUCGGACCUUGCGCGAUUGAAUGAGCCGAUGUCGGAUUAGCUAGUUGGCGGGGUAAAGGCCCACCAAGGCGACGAUCCGUAGCUGGUCUGAGAGGAUGAGCAGCCACACUGGAACUGGGACACGGUCCAGACUCCUACGGGAGGCAGCAGUGGGGAAUAUUGGACAAUGGGCGCAAGACUGAUCCAGCCAUACCGCGUGGGUGAAGAAGGCCUUCGGGUUGUAAAGCCCUUUUGUUGGGGAAAAAAAAGCAGCAGGUUAAUACCCCGCUGUUCUGACGGUACCCAAAGAAUAAGCACCGGCUAACUUCGUG
rnacentral:rRNA from 1 species